rnacentral:misc_RNA from 1 species
CCGAGUUCGUUUUGGGUAAACCGAAACACUCUUCACCCUUGCUUAAACGUCAAGUUGCUUCGGCAGGCCUACAGUCGGCUUUCGAGCGGGCUAGCACCUGCCGAAGAUUAUACUCUUCAUACUUGUUAUUACAUCUCAAAAAAUAAACAA